rnacentral:rRNA from 1 species
UCUGGCUCAGAUGAACGCUGGCGGCGUGCUUAACACAUGCAAGUCGCGCGUGAAGGACUUCGGUCCGAGUAAAGCGGCGCACGGGUGAGUAACGCGUGGAUGAUCUACCCAUGAGUUAGGAAUAACGGCUGGAAACGGUCGCUAAUACCAAAUACGCUCCGAUUUCAACUUCGGGGGGAAAGGUGGCCUCUGCUUGCAAGCUACUGCUCAUGGAUGAGUCCGCGUCCCAUUAGCUAGUUGGUGGGGUAACGGCCCACCAAGGCGACGAUGGGUAGCCGGUCUGAGAGGAUGACCGGCCACACUGGGACUGGAACACGGCCCAGACUCCUACGGGAGGCAGCAGUGGGGAAUAUUGCGCAAUGGGCGAAAGCCUGACGCAGCGACGCCGCGUGAGGGAUGAAAGGUCCUCGGAUCGUAAACCUCUGUCAGGAGGGAAGAACCGCCACGGUGCUAAUCAGCCGUGGUCUGACGGUACCUCCAAAGGAAGCACCGGCUAACUCCGUGCCAGCAGCUGC